rnacentral:rRNA from 1 species
GACGAACGCUGGCGGCGUGCUUAACACAUGCAAGUCGAACGGAAAGGCCCUGCUUUUGUGGUGUGCUCGAGUGGCGAACGGGUGAGUAACACGUGAGUAACCUGCCCUUGACUUUGGGAUAACUUCAGGAAACUGGGGCUAAUACCGGAUAGGAGCUCCUGCUGCAUGGUGGGGGUUGGAAAGUUUCGGCGGUUGGGGAUGGACUCGCGGCUUAUCAGCUUGUUGGUGGGGUAGUGGCUUACCAAGGCUUUGACGGGUAGCCGGCCUGAGAGGGUGACCGGCCACAUUGGGACUGAGAUAGGGCCAAGACUCCUACGGGAGGCAGCAGUGGGGAUUAUUGCACAAUGGGCGGAAGCCGGAUGCAGCAACGCCGCGUGCGGGAUGACGGCCUUCGGGUUGUAACCCGCUUUCGCCUGUGACGAAGCGUGAGUGACGGUAAUGGGUAAAGAAGCACCGGCUAACUACGUG